AGCAGAAAUGCAAGUCUCAAUUACAAACAGUAAUUGAGCACCUGGUGGGAAGGCAGGGCCAGCCUGAGGGUGCUCAGGUGCAUGCAAUGACUGAACGGAAGGGGUGGAGCCAGGAUCCACCCCUUCCCAGACUGAAUUUAAGGGUCAACAGUGGAGGAGAAGGUAUCUCACUGGGAAUCUUUGCCUACCUGAGGCCUUCUAAAGGUUGUCAGACUGGAUGAUCAAGAUGGGCCCUUCGAGUCCUGAAGCCUAUGGAGCUCUGAUCUAAAAUGACAUGAUCACACACCACUUUCCCCUCAGCGAUGCUGACUUCAGUGCACCAGGAGUCACCAAACAAGGAUUUUGGAAGAUGCAUAUGAUUUACCAGUCUACUAUGCUAACAUCAUUUUGACAGAAAUAUGUAAUUUGUGGGAAGCAGACAGAAGCAGUGUUAAGACAGCUGCCUGAAGUCUAGCUUUCUGGUCAGAAGUGAAAUGAAUAUUGAUGAAAGAAAGGAAAAUAAAGAUCCACUGCAGAGGGAAUGUGUAAUGCAAUGAUCAUCAGGAACAGACUUAUCAGGGGUCAGAUCAAAGAUCCACAUGGCCGAGUAUCCUGUCUCUGAUCAGAUUCAAUGGCAAAUUCCUAAGGAAAAGCAAAACAGAAAUCAAGAAGUACAAAUGAAACACAUCUGUAUGAUUGCUGUUUUCCCAGAGAAGAGCUGAAAUGCAUUAUGAAAUAUUCAAAGCUUUGUUAUGUUGGUGAACUCAGAGUGUCAAAGACAGACACACAUUGUUUGAAAAGCUUAAUCUGGAAAAAAAGAGAGUAAAGUUUGAAGAAGGAUAUGUGAGGACAUAUUUAACUACUGUAAGACUUCUUGCAUGCAUAGAUGUGCAUUUAUGUGUCACAUGCUCAUCAGAAUCUACCUACACACAUCAUAUUAACGUUGAUAUAUUAAGAAGUCUUCUUUAUUAGCGUCUUAAUUUCUCGAAUAACACUUUGGAAAAAAUACUUUAUUCACAGGAUUUUUUUCCUUCUGCACUUUGGAAGAUCCUCAGAUCCUCACAGUUUACCUGAGAUGGAAAGAUUUAUGUUAUCUCAAAGUAAUGCCAGAAUGUACUCAUUCUAAUAAUUUCAGAACUAAUGAUCACAGACAGAUGACUAAAUCAACCUAGCAGCUCUUUUUCUGUGCUGAAGUCUUUCUGUAUUUACAGAUAAUAAAAGACUAGAAGUCUUAAUAACAUCUAGUAUAAUCAGCUUAAGAUUUUGAGUUUUAUAAUGGACACAUGAAACUGAUAAUUGUUUCCAGUAGGCACAUCUAUCUGGAGCUGGAAAGCUGUUUCAAAUUCACUUUUUCUAUAGAACAAGGGCUGCUCCAGAAGUAAUGCCUCCUGUUUUAUUAUGUUGGCCUACAAUGUCAGAAGCAGGUGUUCGUGGCACGGCAGCAGGAGCUGGACAUUCCCACCAAAAUUUCAUUAUAUUUUGUUGCUCUGUGACAGAUGAAAGAAGAGGGACAGUCUGAGAAAAUGGCAUUUGACAUAGAAGUAAAUAUGUGCAAUUGAAUUCCUCCAUGCAUAGAAAAAUUGUACCCAUUGACAUUCAUUGACACUUGCUGCAAGUUCGUAGAGACCAUACAGUGGGUGUGAGCACACUAAGGUGGAGGAUGGUGUGUUACAGCAGUGGCAACAGUGACGUGAAAGACAAACCACGUCUUAUGAGAAAGGCAUGCAGGCACUUGUUCAUCAGUGUCAAAAAUGUGCAAUUAAUGGUUGCUACUACACUGAAAAUAAAUGUUUUGUGGCUGAGAAUAUUCUCUAUCAAAUAGUGCUAUUGUGCUGUUUGCAGGUGGUGAAUUUUUCAUGGAAAUAAAUAGGAGGCAUUACUUUCAGAGUGACCUAUGUAUGUUCUCCACUUUUUUUGAGAAGACCUAUUGAAGUUGGCAUAAUAAAAUAAUUUAUUCAGACAUUCAGUUUUCCUUAUAGUUCUGUCUUAGGCCCUUCCUUAUUGGACAGGCUACGUUUGACUUUUCAGAGGAGAUUAGGUCAAAGUCUCCAUCAGUUGCAGGGUCAGGAUUCUUUCCAUUUCCAACUCAAAAUCAGUCUUUUUUUUUUUUUUCUUGUAUCAUUGUACGGGAAAAUAAUAAAGAAUGUAUACUUUAUUUAGGUAUGUCUAUUACACAUUUGUGAGGUGGUCCCAUUGCUUUAAUGUAGAUGGAAUCUUUGCAGUAACAUAGAGAAAUGUGUUUACACAGUUAUGUUUAUUCACUCUCAUAUUCUGCCUUUGAAAGGACAAAUGUAUUUGCCUAAACUGUAAAAUGCUUUUUGCUAAUGCCUCUGAAAUCUUUACACUUACUGUUUUCCCUUCUUCCUAUGUCUCUUUAUCCCUUUGGAAUAUGAUCCUUUUCUCUCUGUCAUUUAGAUUCCUAUUCUUGACUACUGCAAGAUUCUUUCCUGCUACAUAGGAACCUAUGUUUUUCAAGUUUUUACUUUUGACCAAAGCUGUGUUCUUUGGCUCAUUUUUUACCCUCUUAUAUAACCUUCACUGAACUGAAAAAAAUGAUACAAGAAUUGUCUUUUAAACUUGAAUGAAGCGAUAUCAAACACUGUGCUGCCUAACAUAGAGAAAUGAAUUGAUUUGGGGAAAUUAAAUAUUGAUAUUAUGCUCUCAGGGCCAGCACAAAACUAGGCAAUUUCACAAAUUUUGCAUGGACCUCUGAGAGUUAGUGUGAAAAUAUAUUAAAGUAAAGGAAGUAGGGCAAGUGGCUAAAAGAAAGGAGUCUGUAGCUGACAUGUCGGCAUUGUAAGUUUUCAGCCCUUCUAAGCAGAGCUCCACUGAAUGUAAAAUGGCAAAGAGGAGAGGGUCUUUUGUGUCUCUCCUCAGAUAGGGGCAUUGACAACCUGAUUCAUUUUCAGUACAUGCUCUUGUACCUGCAUGAAGCAACUGUAGAACUACAGAGGACUUUCACUUGAAUUUGGUCCCUAGCUUAAGCCAAACAAAAAGACUUCUCUUCACAAGCUGCAGAAAUAGUUAAAGGGUAAGAAAUUUCAUGUCGGUCAUCAGUAUCAGAAAGUACUGCUGUGAAUGGUUUUGAUUUAUUUUAGUCUAUCAAGCUGAAUGUUAAUUUUCAUGCUAGAAAGAUGUCUUUACUUCCUUGAUUUAUUAAAUAAAAAUAGGUUAAAAAAAAAAAAAGAUUCUUUUAAAGAUACUCUUAAAUGUAUCUACUAUGAUUUAAAUUAAGCAUUAGCUUUUAUCUCUAAAAUGAAGAGCUCGGUUUACUUCUCUUAGUGACUUCGGUUUUAGAAGAAAAAAUUGUGUCCAUGUUCAGUUAUAUGUUCGAAAAACACUUAGUUACAGUCAGUUACAUAUACAUCUCCAAAUACCAGUAAAAUUUCCUCCACUUGUCUGUGUGUGUGUGUGUCUGUGUGUGCAGAUAAAGAUAGAUCGUCAAGCUCUUACCAUCUAGACACUCUUCUAUGUAUUAGGAAGGGAUAUGUUGUGAAGUAGGGCAUAAGCUUAUAAUCUAAGGUCAUAGAUUUGGAACUGCCUUGGAAGUGGUGUGUGAUGCUCAGCAAGACUGCUUUUCUUAACCUUUAUUGUUUGUGAAAUUCAGAAAUGUGCUUCCUGCUCGUACUAGUAAAAAUAACUUGUCUUAUUUUCAAAAUGGAACACGUGUAAAAAACAGCAUGAAAUAUUUUUUUCUACUAAGGAAAGUUUGCCUUGCUUUCUUAAAAAUGAACCCACUAAUCCCUUCUAGAUAUUCAGCAUGAAUGUCAUUUAGCACAGUCUGAGAGCAGAUAAAUAAUCCCAUUCUUCUCUGUUCUCAUUUUCUUAUAUUUCACUGUAUGAAUAAAACCACUUCGUACACUGCUAUGAAAGAGACAAUAUUUAGAAGCCAUAGAGAAGACUAUCAAUUCAUGAAACUGAAUUCUGUAAAGAAAUUCACUCUGAAACAAAAGUAUAUUUUAAAUGUUUUUCAUUUUGAAUAAACUAUACUUCUGUAAAGAUGAAUUUGUUAAAUCAAAAAUUUCUCAAAAUUGUGAUAAAAGAGAAAAAACUUGAAAAAAAACCCAAAAAACUAAACCUCUUCAAUGUCCCCAUUCUCCUCCACAUAAAUCUUCUGUUUAAUAUCAAGUAUCUAAACAUAAACCUAAUUUAAACCCUUUUAAAAUAGUAUUUUCUACUGUGAUUUCUGUAUUAUUAUUAUGUGUUAUAUUUACCUGUAGAUCUUUAACUGAUCUAGAUGAUUUUGAACUUUCUACUGCUGACUAUAUUUAUUCUUUUACAUAUGAAAAUGACUUUACAUAGUACACCAUUUUAUGAAUAUGACUGUAUUUAUUUCUUCUAGUAGGCCGAUAGUCUUUAAGCCUUUUAUUGUUAUUUAUUUUAAAAUGGGUAUUCUGAUGAAUUAUGAGCAUGUGCUGAAACACUAUCUGUAGCUCAAGUUGGAAUACAGCUUUUUGUUCUGUGUACUUUACAGCACUUAAAUCUUUCUCCUUCCCGGACUCUCUGUAUUUUUUUUCAUUUUUAAAAGCCUUCUGUUUAUUGCUUCCACUAAUCUUUAGAUCUCUACUUAACCUCAUUGCCCACUGUUGCCCUUUUCUACAUUUAGAUUUAACCAGCAUGUCAAUUACAGUCUCUCCAGAAAAUUUCUGAAGCAUUUUCCAUUUUUAAUUUUAAAAACCCACCUUUUAAAAUGGUACUUGAACAAUAUCACAGCUUUCUUCAAGUACUGUGUUCAGAGAACUCUGUGUUCUUCCUGGUCCUUAGAAAAUGUCAGUAGAAUUGGAGAAAAGAUGGAAUGUAAAGAUAUAUGUAUAUAUAUUUAUAUAAAAAAUAUAUAUGUAUAUAUAUUUAAAUAUCCAAAAAACCUCGUGAAAUUCAUUGAAUGUACUCGCUAUUGAUACAGUCUUGAGAGAAAGCCAAGUCACAAGUGUUAAAGGGUCUAAGUCUUACACACAAAAACUGAAGCACCUGUGAGAAGUCUGAGAGAAAUCAAGAAUGGUGUAACAGGUGUAUCUGAGAAGAUAAAAUAAAAUACAGAUGACUCCUUAAGUUCUAGAGUAGGGCUAAUAAUACCCAUCUUCCAAGGGUCACUCACUGCUGGAGUUACUGUUUUUUAUUGUUCUAAAUUAUCAUAUUCUUGGCAGUUUUUAAUGCUAUCAGCAAAUUCAUUUCUCAGUUUAAUUUUAUUGUCUACAUUUAGAUAAGAUUUUCAUUUUUAGCAUUUGAGAAGGUAGAAUGCAGAAACCCAUUGUAUUUUGCUGGAUUCUUUAAAGAUGAGUUCAUAAAUAUUGAAAUAACAUUCUAGACUGUCUUUUGUUUGAAGAUUUUCCAUACAUUUUUUUCAGUUAUAAAAACAAGUUUUUCUGAAUUUGUCUUGACAAUUUUAUAAGAUUGUGUAUCAUCUAAUUGUGGCUCAGCCUUGUCCACCUUCAGUUCUAUAAGAGAGAAAUUGACAUCUUGGAGUUGUAGAGUUUUACUGCCCAUGUUCAAUUAUUUCUGUCACUUGGAUCACAAUGUGUAACUCUAAAUAAUGCCUUUCUUUCUUUAGUUAUCUUCUUUACCUUUCUAGCAGGUAUGACAAAACCACACCCUUUAUAAAUCAUAAAUAAUUUACUUCUUAUAGCAUGAAUUUUUCUUAGUUGCUACAAAUGAAAAAUAUUUUUGGUACAGGCAAUUAAUGUUCUGAUGGUGCCAGAAUAGGUGCUGGAAUUUAUUUGUUAAUGGCACUAAUUUUGUAUGUUAAAAAUAAUAUGGUUCUCAGCUCUCUGAAUGUGAGAACUUCUCAAAAGGUCAAAUCUGUGUGGUUCAACUAAAAAGAGAGGUGGAAAUUAACUUUGGAACAGGAGGACAUAGUUUAGUUCAUUGGGAGCCAAUUAGUUCUCUUCCAGAAUACAGAAAGAGUAUUGUAAGCAAAUGGUACUAUAGCUGCAUUUGAGUAAAGACACAUGGAGCUGCAUUACCCAACUCAAUUUUUAUGUUUUAAACAACCAUUUCCAUUACCCCUGUGAAACAUCACACAUGGAAGUCUCUUGAGGCUCUGUGUUUCAUUGGUGACUUUCUAGCCUACUUCCCUCAGCCUGCCUCAUUUUUUAAUUUGCACAGUACACUUGAGUUCUUUGGUUAGACAGUCAAAGAAAAGAUCUGUCAGAGGGAUUAGUAAGAAGACUUAAGGUUGUCUCAAGCAAGCUUAUGGUAAAAGGAUUUAAACAUACCAAGCAUUAGUGAAAGUGGUUGGCUAAAGAGGUGCAAACUUUCUACCUGUAGCCUGCUUUUCUGCAAGUCCCCAGUCAGUGAGCAGUUAUUCACCAGCCAUCUACAAAAUACACAGAGGUGUUCAUAUUCUUAAUGAUGUAGUCUAAAACAGUGCAAGGAGCAAAAACAAUAGAAGCAGAAAGAAAGAAUAUCUCAUACCGUCUUCCCCUACUACGGUACAUACUAUAUAAUAAAAAUGUGUCAUGGUUUUAUGAUUUCUGUUAUUGGUAUUCCACAUCAUAACAUCAUGUAGUGCACUUGGUGUUAAAGAGUUAAUGCUCCAGUUGCAUGGAUUGUCAGUAUUUUUGGGUACCUGGUUCUCACAAGAGAAGAACUACAUAAACCAGCAGACUUUUAUUGUUACAUUUCCUGUUUCCAUUUUCCAUUUAGAGGGAAAGAUAAAACUCCCUAGUCAUGAGAUUGGUUCCUUCUUUUACUGCUUGCCCCUGCAGUGUAUUCUUCCUAGCCAUCUCACCUUCAGUGCUAGAGUAAAGUCUUCAGUUUUGGACACUUUCUCAUUUAUUUGAUUUAUUAGCUUCAAUUCCAAUUAUAUUAGAUUACAUUGUGUUAUCUCACAUUCCACUGGCAUAUUUAGUGAAUUAGUUUUCUCCCUUAGCUUGUUGCCACUGUUUCGUUUUGUUUUUAGGCCCUCCUCUCUACCUUUUUCCCCUUUUUCUCUUCCCCCUAUCCUGGGGCAUGGGUCAGUGGGUCCCUCCACUGCACUAGUCAUGGAACUGGGCCAAACUGGCCCCAAACCCAUGCCAAAGUGUGAGAUUUGCAGCUUAGGAAGUCCUACUUCUGGGAAGCUUUAGUUCUGAAGUACCUUGAUCCUGCAGGUGCUUUUGCAUCCUGUCACCCACAGUCUUGCUUACUCUGAAUACAUGCUAUUGCAUACUCUAAGGCACUCUGAAGCUAAGCUUAUACAAUAUGUUUAUAAUCACAUAUUCAUUUCUAAAUGCAUUUUGAUUUCUACUCACUUCAUUGAUGUUUUACAAUAUUGAAUAAUUAUGACGAUUGGUUUUCAGUUAAAGAGCAAAAAUCUAGAGACUCAAAAUACUCAGGUGCAUGAUGAUUCUCCCAGAAAACAGCUACUCAUCUGUUUGGCUGGAGACUAUUCACAUUUUUACCAUGAAACACAUACUAUGAUAAAUAAAAUUGUAUCCUUGGAUAAUUUCUGUGUGUCAGCAAGCAGUUCUAGCCAGGGUGCCCAUGUAUGGUUUCUGACAUGGAAUGACAUGUGUUCACAACUGCCAGUCAUUCUAACUGAAAGAAGGGACAGUCUGCACACAGCAGGGUCAUGACAUCUAGCAGCCUGAGUAAACAAACUAGUGUUUCUCUCUCUCCUUCUUCCUCUUUCCAGACUGCUAAGGAGAAGUCAUAAACAUUUUACUUUUUUGGUUAUUUACUAGAACAAGAAGUCUCUGCUUUCCUUUUUUCAUCCAAGAUGGCACUAUGGAUAAUUUGUAAUUUAGAAGAUUUAGAACAUUUCACCUACUAAGUAUGAUAAAUACAAGCAACCAACAGAGGAAAAGUUACAUUUUAUUUCUUAUGGCAGAUUGUUGUAUUAUGCUUUGCUGAAAUAUAUACAAUUAAAUUGUCCAUCAACUAUUUUAUCAGCAACUCAUUAGAAGAAACUGUACAUUUAAAAUAGAGUAAUAAUGAACUUAGAUACAUUUUUUCAGCACAGCUGAGAGACUGCUUUCCAGUGCUGCCAUAUAAGGUAAUCAGGAAACACUGGACCCUGGUUCUGCUUAUUCAAGUGUAACCAAGAUUUGGAGUUUCCAAGUCCACUUUAAAAACCUUUAACUACUUAAAGCAUUGGAAUAAAGCUGACCACAAAGAUGGAAAAGAGAUGGAAGAGUGAGAAGAAGGAAAAAGAAGUUUUGAAGCAGAGACCAGAAAAAGAAAGACUGCGAAUGAUUUUGAAGCUCAUACAAGAUGUAGAAUGCCAAUCUCUUCUCUGUGUUCUAGAGGAGCUUUAAACAGCAAGCAAUAGAGUUGGCCAACUGAAGCACAUUAUUCAGCUGUGUUCUCUUUGGAGAUAACUGGUAAUUCUGAAAGGGAGAUGAGGAAGAAAGAAAGAAAGCUAUAACUUCUUGGUUUGUAAAUCUGCUGGUGAUAUAGUGAACUUAGAUUAAUUUCACAGCUCAAUCUUGAUAGUUAAAGUUGUGUUUUGUGUUUGAUCAUCCUAGGCCUGAGAACAUCCCUGUUAACCUUGUUGCAGCUCUCAACAAUGUAAAAAAAACUUCCUACCAAAUUAUAUUUUUAAUACACCUUAUGAUUUGGUAUAGAUAUGAAGGUAGAUGAAGAGGACAUAAAGAGAUACGUAGAAAAAGACCCAUAGUCCUUAAAAGGAGUUUUGCUCACUUCUGUAAAGGGACUGCAACAGUCCUUGUAGUAUUUUUUUUUGCAGGUGCUAUAAGAAUUACUCUGAAUGGCAGAAGAUGAACUUUGGCAGAAAAUACAGCGGAAACUUCAGCAGCUUAGGCAUGGUUAUAUACAGGUCUCAAUUGCUUUUAACUGAAGUCUUGUUUUGUUGUCUACAAAGGUUGUCUUGCUUUCAGAAAAGUAUGAGCUAUGUUUCAAUGAGACAGAAUUCUGAAAAAAAAAAAAAAGUUUGAUGUUAUUUACAUUCACUGUAACUAAUCUGAAUCACUGAUUCUGGUUGGGACUGACAUCCCUGUCUAAGUCCCAAACCUAGUAUGAUUUUGUAUGUAGAGCCAGUUUAAAGUCACAGGCUCAGCUAGGUCUAGCUAGAACUGAUGAAGGAUAGAAGAUACAGAUUAAACAUUUUUCUCUAUUGUGAGACUAUAAAUAAAAAAUUGAAUGUGACCUUAUAACCAAAUGAUUUAUUCAUUGCUAUAUUAUUGAUAUCAAUGUGAAAUGUGUUACUUUGCUGAGAAAGGGAAGGAUUUUGUGAGGAUACUGAAUGGUUGUUUUUUUUUUAGUGUCCUUAAAGUACAAACUGAUGGGGUCUGCUUCCUCUGUAGAAAUGGUAGUUUUCACUCAAAAGAAUAAAUGCUGUCACUUUAUGCUUCACAACUCUAGAAUGUUUCAGUUGUAGUGAAAACCCAGGAGUUUCUUGGCUUUUUGCUUUUAGUGGAGGACACAUUACUCUGUGAGAGACUUUACUUGGACAAAAUAACAUAGAAAAUGUUAACUUAGAAAAUAGACCAAAUAAUCUGCCACAGCUGUAGUUGUUUUUGUUUUGUUUUGUUUUUUACAAAUCAGCAAUGAACAAUUUGAUCUAAUUCAGAAAUAAUCAAAGGCUGCAUAAAUAUUUGGCUGCUACAAGUUUAAAAUAGUACCACGAUAAAAUUUCACGUACACAUGUCUUCUAAGAACAUAUUUCUUGUAAAUUUCACUGCACUGAAUAAUAACUUGAAUUAUUUUUAUCAGUACAAAAGUAAGUCUCCCUACACUACUCUAUUUUUUAUUAACAAUCACUUUUUAAUCUGUAUAUACUAUAUACAGCUAGUAGCUCUUUCAUUUUUGUACUUUCAAUCUGCUUCACAGGGUAUUAAUUAUGCACAAGUUGGCUACAUCUCUUCUGUCAUACCGAACAGCCACAUCUGCAUUUAAUCAUUCAUUAUAUGCUGUAAUCUACCACCUAACUUCCAGUCACUUUUACUAUCUAAAAGCAAGUAGGAGGUACUUAAGAAUCUAUCCCUGAAUAUCUAAUUGCAUACUUAACUGAUUAGUUUUAUAUGACAGUCUCUUAUAAACAUGCUAAUAAGUUGAAGACUCUUAAUUUGUACCUACAUGCUACUGAUUUCUGUAUGAUUAUACAUAAUGAACUCAUCAUGAUCACACUUAGUGCUGCUCUUCUGAGAAUCAUGAAAAUAAAUGCAGAGUUUGGAGAGAAGGAUGUAGACAAAGGCAGAAAUGAUCAGUAAUAUGUUGCUUUGUAAGAGAUUUGAUGAGAAACUUCAUACAGGUUUGCUUUGAGAAAUGGCUUAUUCCAAAUAGUUCAAGAGGAAAUAAAAGGACCAUGAAAACCUGGACAAUGAGGUAAACAAAAGUGAAAAGAAUCCACACAGAUGCUGUUUUACACCUAGCUCAACUAAUAACACCCAUCAUGCUCAGAGAUACAGGAAAAAGUGAAUCCAUGCCAAAUAAACCACCUCAGGUGUCAGUACUGGUGACUUCUAGUUACUUCCAAGCAUCUCAGUUAUUCACAGAACAGAGGCAAUGGGAGAGGUCCAAAGGAACUCUGUAUUGCCAUGUCACUGCUUUUCUGAGUAUUUCAAUACCUCCAUUAAAGUAAUGCCAUUACUAUGACCAAUUCACAAGCUUGAUUGAAAUUUCUUUAACAAUGUACAAUGUUGCAGACAGGAUGAGGUUAUCCAUUCCACCUCUGCUUUUUCUAGGGCAAUAGCUGAGAAAGGGAGUUUUAAAGGUAAACAGAAAUCUGAGGUAAUUCCUAAAGAAAAUGAACACUUACUAACUUUAAAGUAGUUAUUGUUAUACAAAGUGAGUUUUUGGGGUUAGCACAAAAGAAGAACAGCAUUUAAGGUCAAUAAAGGUGCAAUACUUUCCAUUGUUCACUGCAUUUCUACAUAAGUCUUAGAAACAGCACAAUCUGUAGCUCUCUUAUACAUAUAGGUAGCCUCUGGAGCUAUAUCACGGUUGUCCGUGAUUUUUCACUUGUUAUUAAAGGGCAUGAAUUCUUCCAAAGGGCAAGGCUAGUGCAUUUACUCAGACUCCUACGCAAAUUGUCCCAGGAUCCUAAUUUGAUGUACCUCAGUGGAAAGUGAUUAGGGUCAGAGGACUUAAGCUGUAUUCUAACACAUAUUAGAUUUAAAUAAUCCUGUCUCAUCUCUUCUGGCUCCUAACCAGUUUAUUUUAACACUAAGUGAGUUUGUUUGUAAAGUCUAAAUGAAUUUUAACAGCUUCUAGUGACAUUUUACUAGAAAACAGAAAAACUGUAGCAAUUCAGGUUCCAAAGUGUAUCAGCGUUCAAUUUUUGAGGGUUUCUCAGUAGACUGAACUUUCCAGAGAUCCUUAUCAUUCAUAUAAAAUAGAUUGGGAUAAUAUCCUCAGAGUUAAUCUAUUUAAAAUGAAUAGUGAUCUUAGAUCCUUUCGGCAUUGGAUUUGUUAAGAAGAAAGUGAUAUUACUGCAGAGUUAGUCCCACUUCCAAGGCCAUGCAAUGGCUUUUCUCAAGCAAUUAAGAAGCUGUACAACUUCUACCUUUAAGAUAACUGUGGAAGAUAUAAUCUUUUAAGAUUAGACUACUCUACUGAUAGAAUUUAUCUUCUUUUCUCUCAUUAAAUAUUUUAAGAUUCUAAUUAACAGACCCUAUUCAAGAAUUUCUGAGAUGAAUGAAGGCAUAUUCAUAUUUUCUGAGAGCACUUUAUUCAGUCUUAUUUUAAAAGCCUAAAUUACAUAUAAGGUAUAUAUGUGUUUUUAAAUACAUUAGUCAGAAGGAAAUGAGUAAUAAUGCUGCACUGUAUUGUGCUGAUCUGUCCAGGCAUAGAAGAGGAUAAGUUGCUAUAUUUAUUGAUGCAAAACUUGUGGAUAACCUUGGUAAACCUUGCAUUUCCUCUGCAAUAGCUACAAAUGGUGGUUAAUGUUAAGCGAGAAAUUUGCAGAAAGCUUAUUAAAAACACAGCCUGUUUCUGCAGACUUUGUUUCACUUUGACAUUUUAACCACAGUUUACCAGGAUGUGUCAAAACUUCUUGACUAGUCAUAGCAAUCUCCUCAGAAAAUAUGAGGAAAAGGUUUCUGUGCUCUUUCUUUCUUUCCUCCUUCUUUCUCUAUCCAUAAAUAUUUCAUAGAAUCAUACAGUUUUUUGAGUUGGAAGGGACCCUUAAAAGUCAACUAGUCCAACUCCCCUGUAAUUAAUAGGGACAUCCACAGCUAGAUCAGAUUUCUUAGAGUUUGUUCCAGCCUGAUCUUAAAUGUUUCUAGGGACUGGGAGUCCACCACCUCUCUGGGCAACCUGUUCCAAUGCUUCACUGCUGUUAUCAUUAAAAAAAACUUUGUUCUUAUACCCAAUCUAAAUCUCCUCUCUUUUAGUUUGAAACUAUUUCCCCUUGUCCUAUUAGAAAAGACCCUACUAAAGAGUCUGUCUCCUUCCUUCUCAUAGCUCCUUUUAAACACUGAAAGGUCACUAUCACGUUUCCCUGGAGCCUUCUGUUCUCCAAGCUGGACAGUCCCAGCUCUCUCAGCCUGUCCUCUUAAGGGAGUUGUUCCACCCCUUGGAUCUUUUUUAUGGCCCUCCUCUGGAUGCUUUCUGACAGAUCCACACCUCUCCUGUACUGAGGACUUCACAUCUGUCAUUGCUGCAGAGACCAGCUUUAGAGCAGGUAAGACUGCACUGAGUAAGGGACCUAAAGCAAAAAGGCCGACCAAAAAGCUCUUUUUAGGGCUUUUUUGAAGCUAGAAAAAGCACUGUACCAGUGCCAGGGGGCUGGCAGCUUGUGGGUGGGCUGCUGAGCCAGCAGGGGCAGAGCUGUCACUGCCCACUCUUAUCUCGUGAGUUCGACCUUGACCCUUUGCUGUGUGGCUAAAAUCAGCCUUCUGGAUGGCAGAAACAAGCUUCCACCCACUUAACACACCAGGUGAGAAAAGGGUGUUACCUUCCACUGACAAGAGGAAGGGAAGUCAGUGUGUGAGCACAGCCCACACUACCCAUACAGUACUGCAGCAGCGGGUGUGAGUGGUGGGUCUUGUGGCAGGACACAUGAGUGUUUUUUGUCUUUGCUCAGACCGGGUCUCCUAUGGACAGACCCUGAGACCACCAGUUCAAACAUGGUCUCUACCAGGCAGCAGGCUUUCCCCAUGAAAACUGUGGAGACCCAGGCAGAGGGCCUGCCCAGAAAUGCUGCCGUUCAGGUCUCUGGCUGCAGGGAGUGCCUGAGCCUGCUGCUGCCAAGGGAGGAUGGGAAGGAUCCCACCUGCGUGAGGUGCGAGCAGGUAGACAAGCUGCUCAGCCUGGUGGUGGAGCUCAGGGAGGAGGUGGAGAGAUUAAGAACUAUCAGAGAGUGCGACCUUCUAGAGGCUUGGGGCAGAGUGGCUGGAAGACUGUGUAGAGAUGGACCUGAGGGUAUUGAUUGAUGCUCAACUGAACAUGAGCCAGCAGUGUGCCCAGGUGGCCAAGAAGGCCAAUGGCAUCCUGGCUUGUAUCAGAAAUAGUGUUGCCAGCAGGAACAGGGAAGUAAUUAUCCCCCUGUACUCAGCACUGGUGAGGCUGUACCUUGAGUACUGUGUACAGUUUUGGGCCCCUCACUGUAAGAAAGACAUCGAAGCCCUGGAUCGUGUCCAGAGGAGGGCAACAAAGCUGGUGAGGGGUCUGGAGCACAGGCCUUACGAGGAGUGGCUGAAGGAGCUGGGAUUGUUCAGUCUAGAGAAGAGGAGGCUCGGGAGAGACCGAAUUGAGAACGAUUCUAUGAUUCUGUAUUCCUCUUUUCCCAAAAGACUUAAUUCAAUACUCUUCCUAAACUGGUCAUUUGUUGGAAGCAUCUAACUUUACCACUAUAUAAAAUACAUAAACCAUUUUUCAUUACAUAAACUAUUAUCUUAACAGAUCAGGAUAAGAAAUGAAAAGUUGUUUUCUUGUGACACCAGCAAGGACAUCUAUGUAGGGGAAAAAAGGGAAUGUAUUAAGAAAGUAAACAACUGAUCACAGACAUCUCGGAGAAUGUGUGGAUCUUUUACACUGAGUUAUAAUAUCAAACUGCACUAGGGCAACAAGGAAUUCAAAAGGUUAUGCUUCUUUGCAUCUGUAAAUACAUGGAUGUUUGGAAAAUAUGUUUAAUGUUUUUAAAAAAUGAUUCAGCAAAGAAAAAGAGCAGUGCAGUGAGAUAAAAAGAUGAUUUAUCCUGUGGCCAGUGUGCUUCAAAUUGACCAGAGAAAGUAAUCUAAUCAGACUUUAUUAAACUGAUUCUGCAGUACAUCCCCAGUGCCUGGAAGCAUUGUCUGAGCUGGUCUGCAGUCUAAUCCUACUUUAGGAGGUUUGCCAACUAUUUAGCCUUUUCUAAGUAGAAAUAGAGCCACAAAAAUUUAAUUACUGCUAUUUUAAUAAGGAAAAUGUAAAACGUUGAUGAUGUCUGACAUAUGAAAGAAGCUGCAUUAGUGACAACAGUAUUUAAAAAACUCUGAUCAAGCACAACCUUUUUAUUUUGAGCAAGAUAUAGCAGAUAAUGUAGGCUCAAAAACCAGCCUAAAGAGCUGCUGCCAGGUUAUAUAAUCUUUGAGCACUCAUCCAAGGCAGUCCUGAAGCCAAACACAGAGAGGAGAAUUGCUAAGGGGUUGUGUUUGCUUCAACAGUUUCCCCCACUGCAUGACAAUCUCUGCCCCAUAAGCUGGCAGUGUUGAUGGUGGCUGUUUCAGAUUUCUAUAGAAAAAUAAGCUCAAUUCAUGUAAAAUAAUGUUUCCCACAGAUGACCUAAAAAGCAUGCCCAGAAAAUAAGUGCAGACUGUUGUCAGUCCUUGCUGGCAUUUGCAGAUGUCUAAGUUUCCUUCCAUCAUCCUUUGUAUGCUAGGUUAAAUCCUAGAAAGUUGCCAUGUCUCCUGGUAAAAAGAUUGCAUGGAGAAAUUCCUCUUCAAUCACACUACAAUGAACAAAGUUCCCAUGUUACAUUAUGGCAAUAAGUCACUACUUUUCAUGCACAUCUGUCAAUUUCAGGAGGUAUUGCAUUCCCUUGGGUGCAAUCCCCUUCAGUGUUUCACUGAAGAUAGGGUUACUGCUCUGUGUGGUUUCCUUUCACACAAGAGUAAUAUAGCACUUUUUCACUGAAAAAGGUCAGAAAAUUGCAACUUGUUGAUUACACUGUUCAAGAAGUUGCUCUCUCUUUUGCAUUUUGCCUGCAGCACUGCUACUGCACAAUAUUCCACUUUGAGUCUUGGGUCUACUUGUGAUUCUGUUUGUUUCUCCUGGACAAGCAGCACUACUUGUGUAAUCCUCUGAUGCAUAUUGAUGCCUUAAGUUGCUAACUCUGGCUUCUCUCCUUCUGCAUACUUCUAUUUCUUCAUGAACUUGUCCUUCAAGGCACAUGUCAGUAUUUGUUGUGGAAUGGACAAUGGCUGCCAGUACUCAAGUACUGUCUUUCCUUUUUGCCUCAACCAGGGUGGGCUUGCAUUUAUAGCCCAGUAGGCCAACUGUAUCCUAGGCUACAUCAAGAGAGGGGUGGCCAGCAAGGCAUGGGAGGUGAUUGUUGUCCUCUACUCUGCCCUCAUGAGGCCCCAUCUGGAGUACAGAAUCCAGAUCUGGGGCCCCCAGCACAAGUGGAGCAAUUGGAGGGGGUCCGGAGGAAGUCCAUGAAGAUGAUUAGAAGGCUGGAGCAUCUCUCCAAUGAAGAAGGAGGUGUUCAAGGCCAGGUUGGAUGGAUCCUGAGCAAUCUAAUCCAGUGCUUGAUUUAGAGGUUGGCAACAUUGCCCCAUGGCAAGAAGAUUGGAACUAGACGAUCCUUAAGGUCCCUUCUAACUCAAGCCAUUCUGUGAUUCUGUGUUUCAAUGAUUCUAUGAUAGAUGUAUGUGGAAACAGGGAAGUCUUGAGUUUUCAGGGUACAAAUGAUUUAGAUUUCCAUGGAAGGAAUUUUGCCUUCCAGAGUUCAUUCUGGGAUUUAAUUCUGUUUUAAAAUCAUUUGACCAAUGCUAGCGUGCUUCCAUAAUACUCACUGAUGGGUAUUGUUUCACUUAUAUGCAUUUUACUUCAGGGAACAUUGUGAAAAUAUUUCACUUCUUAUGUCUGCAAAAAUAUGGAUUAGAAUUGCUCAAUCCAAAAAAAAGAACAAGCAAAUAAUGUCAAGUUCACAAAAUUAAAGGCAAUUAUAGACUAUUUUAUAUACAUUUAAAAAAUAAAGCAAUAAAUGGCCAGUUUUGAACAUUCUCAGUGAUCACUAGAGAUUAGCUGUUAUGUUUUAUAUUCUCUGUUAUCUUUCAAGCAGAAAACCAAAUUUCUAGCCUGUUUCUUUAAAAUUCCUAGGUUUUGUAUGUGUGGUGCUCAUUCAAUUAUUUUAUAUAUUUAUUUUGCUUGUUUGAUGGCUUUGCAUUUGGAAGGCUGCCUGAGGAGAGAUGCCUGAAGGAAAAGAGGAAAUCCAGACAACUAUAAAAAUAUCCUACAUGUUUUCACAGCAAAAAAUGCAUGGGCACAAUGGCAGAUCUCUCCCAUGUUAACGCUGCAGCUGCAUAUAACAGAGGAGACUGCAUCACUAUCACCCUGGUGUGACAUUUUUGUGAGAUGCAGUUAGUACAAUGCUGUGACAUUUACAGUGUUGUGCACUGCAUUUAGUGGCAGAUCUGCUAACAACAGCAGAUCUAUUCCUGGCCACAUAGAGUGGAAUGCUGCCUACUCACUCUCUCCUCUCUGCAUUGGUUUCCUGCCCUAAUGUACGUUACAUUUAGAACUUUGAUGUUAACUGAAGGCCAGCCAAAAAAGGACUUGGAAUCUGAAUGCUUUCAUAUUUCUGGAUAUGGGGUGGUUUUGAAUUUCCAGAUUAGUAGUAACUCAUCUGAUGUUAGUGUUGAGUUGUUUCCAGAACCAUAUGGGACCUAAUUUCUAAUGCAGCCAAGAACUUAAAGCCAAUCUGAAGAAAUGUGGGACAAGCUGACAAAAAAAAAAAGUAUCACAGGCAGAAUAACAGUGAAAGAUUUACAUCAGUUUCCCCCUCAUAAACUUUAGUCAUUUGCCUUGAAGUUACUCAGAAGUUACACCGAUGUCUAUUAUUUUCUUAUUCAGUGGUACAAAUGUUCAUACUCAUCUCAUCUGUGUAAAUAUACAUCCGUGUAAAUAUGAAAGUGAUUAGAUCAAAGAAAACUCUCUUUUUCAUUUUCCUGAAGUAACUAAUUUUAUCAGCUAAGCAUUAAGUGUACUUUUUAAAAUGAUCGUUCAUGCUUUCGCUGAUAAACAGGAGAUAACUAACUGCAUGUCCCAGGCAACUACUUUAUUGAAGUGAGAUGAAUGAUUUUCUGAAGGCUCCCUUCUUCAUGAGCUGCAGUGAUCCUAGACAGUUAUUCUAGACAUUUGGUGUUUAUACAUCUCAGUGUUUUCACACAACUCUGUGUUCCUACCCUUUGUGUAACUUUUAUAUGCAAAAACCAUUGAGCAAUGUAAAAUAUGACCCCCAUUUUAGAACAAUCCCAAGAGAAUUUUUUUUAAAAUAAAUUUCAUCUACCUGGAAAUGUUAGGACAAAAGUAAGAUUUUCAUGGUUUUCCAUUACUCCCUGUAAAAGCAGAGAAAAAAAGUCUGUUAGAUUUACGAAUAAAAGGAAAUUGGCUGAAAAGAGCUAAUUCAUAAUGAAACUAACUUGUCAGACUAUUUUCAUAGCACUAUCUGUAUAAAGAUUAAAAAAAAAACACCUCUCAUAAAAUAUUAAUGCUUUAACCUUUAAGUUAUUAGCCCUUAUAAAUUUAAACUACUGCUUACAUUGUAAAGAUGGAAAAGUUUAAGCUAACAGGAAGAGUUGAAAACAGGGCUUUAUCUUCUCUCUCCUAUGGCUGGGUUUUUAAUAUGUUAUCAUUCUUCUCUCUCUCUAAAUCAGUAAAUUAAGUGAUGUUAAUCAUCUCAAAAGCAGAUACACUUCUAGUACAUGUGUAACACACACUAAAGACACAUUUGAGCCUCCCUCACAAGAGAAAGGAUUGAUCAAAUAUAGCUCUUCAGUGUGAGGAGGCACUGGGACAUCAUUUUUUCCCAGUACCUUUCCCAAAACAGUAGCAUAAAAAACAUCUCUAAAAUGCCUGUAGUAGAAAUCAGUAUAGCCAGUAGGAUCUCAACACAACAGAUGAAACUGAAGUGCAUAAAUAGUGAAUUGCACUGCAGCCAGCUUUUUAGUUUGUGGGAGCUUCAAUUACCACAUUGUCCCCUUUACAAGGCAUGAGGAUGCAACACAUUUGUGGCAGGGUAAUGUGAGCACUCCCUGCAUCCACAUCACAGGCUGAACCCAUCACCACUCACAAAGAGCACAUGCAGCUGGGGUAAAUUCAGCCUGGACAUUUCAGUCGUCUUUGGCACCGAGGAAUGGGAAUUUUUUAAUGUAUGUUAUUCUUCUGAGGAAUGUAAAAUAUUUUCAUUUGGGACUUUUAAAUCCUCAAAUGUACACUCUGUGAACUGUUGACAUGAUGUUUUCAGGUCAAUAUAUCAACCAGAUUCCAAGAAUCCAAGAAUCAGCAGCUGCUAUUGUAAUUUUCCUAUGGGCUUCUAUUAAGUUGUUUCAAAAUUUGUGUUAAAAAUCAUGCUGGGAUAGAUCUGGAAAGGUGAAACAAGCAAGCAAAAAACUUUUGAAAAUUAUAUUUGCUAUGCACAAAUGAUUACCCAUUUGCACAUUAAUAUGCACUAUUUUGUAUGUAUGUGUAAGAGAUUAUUCUUUUAUAUCAUUGACUCAAAGUUUGCUGAGGAACAAGUCCAGGCAAGUCCUGGGCAAAGGCAGAGAAAUCUUUUGUCUUGAGGACACUGAUGGACAGGUCCUGGCUAAGGAUUGUGAAAUCCUCUAAGGAGCACAGCUGGACAAGGCCAGGGGCAUCGAGAGAGAGAUAAGCUGCUGCUAAUGGCCGGGAAACGGUCUUUUUGUGUGGACUUAUCUCAAGGAAAAUGGCCAUCUCAGGAGGUAUGCACAGGACUCUUGCUCAAGCACCCAGGAAUGUCACGUAGGCAGCAGAAAAUGGAGGAUAAAAGAGGGUCCAACAACCACGGCUAGGUGGAGGCUGAUCUCUCACCACGACACGAGCUUUCUGCCUUCAGAUCCUUCUCUACGGACCGUUUGCUGACGGACUUCCCUGGGCCUGCUACCUGAGACCUGCUGCUUCCUCCCUGACCUGCACUCUCUCGUUGCCCAAGACCGGCCUCGCUGCUCCUGCCCUUCGGCGUCGGAACGUCGUGCUACAGGACUGCUGCCGGAUUCUGGUGGUAACUAUCCCCGCUUUAUGCAAUUCUUGCCUCUUUCUAUCUUUUCCAUCGCUCGCCUUCCCUUCCCCAUCACCCCAACCCUUAAUAGUGUCCGUCCUCCCCUUUCCCCAUCUCCCUUAUUAACAUUUGUAAUAAACUGUUCGGACCAACAUUUGAACCGUUGUUUCUUAAUCUCACGCCGGGCAUACAUAUUUCAAAGAACCUCCUCUCCCUCCUAUAAAUUGGAGUGAGACAGUAUGUAAGCAGGUACUUAUAUUUAAAAUCAAUUAAAAAAUCUCCCCUAAGAAAUCAUGUCAUGUUACACACAAUUAUAUGCACAACAAUGCAUUGCACAGGGGCCUUGUAUCGCUGUUUCUUUGGCAAAGCAGUUGACUAGUACUGCAACCACAAUAACCACUCUUUCAAGGUUGUGGAAAACUCUGGAUUUCACUGCAACUCUUUCCUCCCUGAAUAUUCAGAUUUCUCUUUAAAGUUAAGGAGGACGUAUGAGGGCAUGAUGUGCAUACAGGUAACAUUCUGAUAUAAAGGCUUUUUUUCAUACAGCUGAGAUGCAGGCAGUGGUUUGGCUGUGAACACAUUGAAGAGGAGAACUUAUUUAAGAGUGAACUCAGGUCAUAUGUUUCUAAACAUUCUUCAGCAAACAUUAGGCAUCUUAACAGUGUAUGAUGGCCUUGUCUUCCUGCGUAGACUUGACUGAAUAAAGAAUGAUCCCUUAGAUAACAAGAAUUUACCUACAGGCUCUAUAGGAUUCCUAUAUUUAGCCAUAAACAACGGCAGUAACAGAACAUACUGUAUUUUCCUUCUGCUCCAGUUAGUGUUAAGUGUUACAAAAAUUAACUGAUACAGACUGUUAUAUUCUUUGCACCAAAAUCUUUGUGGAAAGUGACAUCGCCAUGUGCUUUGUAACUAGCGAGACAUUUUUUUUCCCCCAUGUACUUUGUUUCUAAAUAAAGCAACAACUAUUUUG
rnacentral:lncRNA from 1 species